rnacentral:rRNA from 1 species
GACGAACGCUGGCGGCGUGCUUUACACAUGCAAGUCGAACGGUGAAGGUGGAGCUUGCUCCGCCGGAUCAGUGGCGAACGGGUGAGUAACAAGUGGGCAACCUGCCCCUAACUUUGGGAUAACUACUCGAAAGAGUAGCUAAUACCGGAUAUGAAGUCUGUAGGCAUCUAUGGAUUUGGAAAGUUUUUCGGUUAGGGAUGGGCCCGCGGCCUAUCAGCUUGUUGGUGAGGUAGUGGCUCACUAAGGCGCCGACGGGUAGCCGGCCUGAGAGGGCGACCGGGCACACUGGGACUGAGACACGGCCCAGACUCCUACGGGAGGCAGCAGUGGGGAAUAUUGCGCAAUGGGCGAAAGCCUGACGCAGCAACGCCGCGUGCGGGAUGAAGGCCUUCGGGUUGUAAACCGCUUUCAGCAGGGAAGAAGCGAAAGUGACGGUACCUGCAGAAGAAGCACCGGCUAACUACGUGCCAGCCGCCGCAGUAA